GGCUGGGAGACAGUGAUGUAUUCUUUCCAAGCACAUAUCUGACUGUAGCGUGCGGAAAUCGUCUGUUUCUGAGUCUCCUUUAC